GCCGGGCAUGGUGGUGCAUGCUUGUAAUCCCAGCAGCUCAAGAGGCUGAGGCAGGAGGAUCAUGAGUUCAAAGACAGCCUCAGCAAAAGCUAGGCACUAAGCAACUCAGUGAGACCCUGUCUCUA
rnacentral:sRNA from 1 species